rnacentral:rRNA from 1 species
GACGAACGCUGGCGGCGUGCCUAAUACAUGCAAGUCGAACGGUCCUUUCUACGGAAGCUUGCUUCCACUGAGAAGAUAGUGGCGAACGGGUGAGUAACACGUGGGUAACCUGCCCAUAAGAGGGGGAUAACAUCCGGAAACGGGUGCUAAUACCGCAUAGUUUUCUUGAUCGCAUGAUUGAGAAAGGAAGGACGGCCUUUGUGCUGUCGCUUAUGGAUGGACCCGCGGCGUAUUAGUUAGUUGGUGAGGUAACGGCUCACCAAGACGAUGAUACGUAGCCGAACUGAGAGGGUGAUCGGCCACAUUGGGACUGAGUCCAGGCCCAAACUCCUACGGGAGUCAGCAGUAGGGAAUCUUCCGCAAUGGACGAAAGUCUGACGGAGCAACGCCGCGUGAGUGAAGAAGGUUUUCGGAUCGUAAAACUCUGUUGUCAGAGAAGAACAAGUUGGAGAGUAACUGCUCCAGCCUUGACGGUAUCUGACCAGAAAGCCACGGCUAACUACGUGCCAGCCGCCGCGGUAAUAC